rnacentral:rRNA from 1 species
UACGAAGGGGGCUAGCGUUGUUCGGAAUUACUGGGCGUAAAGAGUGUGUAGGCGGUGCUCUAAGUUCGGUGUGAAAUCUCCUGGCUCAACUGGGAGGGUGCGCCGGAAACUGGAGUGCUUGAGCGUGGGAGAGGAAAGCGGAAUUCCUGGUGUAGCGGUGAAAUGCGUAGAUAUCGAGGAGGAACACCUGUGGUGUAGACGGCUUUCUGGACCAUAGCUGACGCUGAGACACGAAAGCGUGGGUAGCAAACAGG